AUAGAUACCCAGGUAGUCCACGCCGUAAACGAUGGAUGCUAGCUAUUGGGGGGAAUCGACCCCCUCCGAAGCGAAGCUAACGCGUUAAGCAUCCCGCCUGAGUAGUACGAGCGCAAGCUUAAAACUCAAAGGAAUUGACGGGGACCCGCACAAGCGGUGGAGCGUGUGGUUUAAUUCGAUGGUAAACGAAGAACCUUACCAAGGUUUGACAUCCCGGUAGCCGUUCUCCGAAAGGAGAAUUUCAUUUAGUUGGACCGGUGACAGGUGAUGCAUGGCCGUCGUCAGCUCGUGUCGUGAGAUGUUGGGUUAAGUCCCGCAACGAGCGCAACCCUUAUGAUUUAGUUGGAUUUUUCUAAACAGACUGCCCUGGUAACAGGGAGGAAGGAGGGGAUGAUGUCAGGUCAGUAUUUCCCUUACACCUUGGGGCGACACACGCGCUACAAUGGCCGGUACAAUGGGCAGCUAAGCCGCGAGGUGGAGCAAAUCCCAUCAAAGCCGGUCCCAGUUCGGAUUGCAGGCUGAAACCCGCCUGCAUGAAGCCGGAAUCGCUAGUAACC
rnacentral:rRNA from 1 species